AGAUUAUAUUGCUACCAUGGAAGAGGAGGAGGUGGAAGGAGAUUCUGAAGCCUUGGGACAAAGCUGGUGCUGCGGCAGUCAGAGCAGAGAGAGAGAAUGAUGCCACUGAUUGCUGUGCUUCUGGAGACUGUUCUACUUCUGAAUUUCCAAUUCAGUGAAAUAAUGCCUGUCCUCAUUUGUUAGCCUUUUAGAGCUCUUCUGCUGUCCUGUCCAUAAGGUUGUUUGUUGGUAAAAUAUUAAACUACAGGAAACAUAACAGCCUCAGAAAAGCAUGACUCAACAUGCAGCCUGGGGCAACUCAGGGUCUCUCUACUGUGCACAGCAUUUGUUCUGCUUUCAAGGCUCCCCACAGCAUCUGAAGCUUUACAUCCCUGGAGGCAACUGCCCAUAUGUUUACCUUUAUUACCAACCUGCAGUUUCCAGGCAUCUGCUAAAUUACAAUUUUGAAUGCUUAA
rnacentral:lncRNA from 1 species